UUAACUUUUUACGAAAGAUCUGCCGUAACCAUGGUAGUGGAAAGGGUGGAGAAUGGAGAAAUCGAUGAACCUGAGACGCUUAAUCUAUUUACAAUAAUAUAUCUACUAGUAUCCUGUUAUCAUUAACUCGAAGGCAGGAAAAAGUACUGAAACGCAUUCCCUUUAAAACAAGCAUUAUUCCAAUUAGGCAUCCUAAGCCCGACAUGUCACCAGCGAUAGCAGCUGAAUUCGCCGACUCAGAAAUCAAACGUUUUGAUAAAGAAAUGUGUAGUGCUAUAUCUGUUUGUCUACAGUUACCCAAGGAAGUGUUGUUUUUGGAACAACCAACUCCUGCAUAUUGGAUACCAAGCAAAAGAGGAUUCUCAACAAUAGGGUUCUUUGAGACCAAAUACGAGGAAG